rnacentral:rRNA from 1 species
AGAUUGAACGCUGGCGGCAUGCCUUACACAUGCAAGUCGAACGGCAGCACGGGAGCAAUCCUGGUGGCGAGUGGCGAACGGGUGAGUAAUAUAUCGGAACGUGCCCAGUAAUGGGGGAUAGCCCGGCGAAAGCCGGAUUAAUACCGCAUACGACCUACGGGUGAAAGCGGGGGAUCGCAAGACCUCGCGUUAUUGGAGCGGCCGAUAUCAGAUUAGCUUGUUGGCGGGUAAAAGCCCACCAAGGCGACGAUCUGUAGCUGGUCUGAGAGGACGACCAGCCACACUGGGACUGAGACACGGCCCAGACUCCUACGGGAGGCAGCAGUGGGAAUUUGGACAAUGGGCGCAAGCCUGAUCCAGCCAUGCCGCGUGUGGGAAGAAGGCCUUCGGGUUAGUAACCUACGUUUUGUCGAAGGGAAGAAACGGACUAGGUUAAUACCGUUUAGGACUUAAGUGACGGUACCGUAGAAGUAAGUAA